UACACCAUUUGAGCAACUUGAGAGAACCAUAUGAGGAACAUUAAGUUUUCUUCUAAAAAACAUUGCAAAUCCUCUGGUAUGAAACUUGCCAGGAAUAAGAAAGUUAGCGCUCUAGUCAAACUAUUCUAUCUCUCGACCACUUAAGACUAAGUGAAAGCUAUAAGCCCCAUAGAGGACUAAGGUAAUAUGGGUGUGUUUCUAUUGCUAAUUUUUUCAUUUCAAGGAGAAGAACUUUGUUGUGCACUUAGUGCUAUUGAGAUGUUAACUUAGUGACCAUACCUGAUCCAACUGAGGCCAAGUUUAAUUGUUUGCUCGGGACAAGCAAAGGUUAAGCUUGGGGGAUCUUGUUGACAGUAAUUAAACCAUGCUUUUACCCCAUCAAAACACCAUCAAUAGGCCUCGAUUUCAAGGAAGAUGAGCAUAACAUGAACAUACUUUAUCAAUAAUUGGUUCCACCUGGAAGGAAAUCACAAAACACAUAGUGACUUGGUACAAAUAACUUGGUUCUACAUGUACUUGUCAUUAUUUGGUUGCAGGCACUUAGAAUAGUUACUUUUCAGUGUCUAGAAGCUCCAUAUGAAUGUAGAGCAACCAAGAUGGCCAAUGCACAAACCAACUUCACAUUCAUCAGUGUCAUAGCUUCUGGAGACAAUGUACAAAAGAUGGGCACAAAAGUGGCAUCAGCCGAUACCCUCAUGAGACCAUCUCAGACAGUGACAAACUAACAGGAUCCUCCCAACAUAGUCCCAAGCAAGUGCCAUCCUUGAAUCACAAGUGUGUUCCCUCUUAGCGGUGGAAGAUGAAGUCACAUGGAUCCAUGGACCAACAUUUCCAUCAACUGAGGUGACCAGGGGGCCCCACCACUUCAUACUCACCCUAGAGACAGAGGAUAAAGCCCACAAGCAUGGGAGGUGGCCCCACCUAUCAGUGGGGGUCGCCAGACCCCCUUACUGUGUCCUCUCAGGCCCACUUUCACUCCACCGACAUGGGAUGUCUUCUAGAAGACUAGGCUAGGCCCACAGGUCAGUGGAUGGGGUCGCUUGGCCCUCUUCCUAUGUCCAUCCAGGUCGGUUGUCACUCCAUUGACUCCCUGCAUGCUUCCCAUGUGGUGGUUUAUCCAAGGCGUCCAUCCAAAGGCAGUUUAGAGGUCGGUUUAUCUAAGGGUGGAGGUGGAGAGGCAUACGGAUUGCUGACGUGUCAUUGGAGUAGCCCCUACUUAAUCUCCCCUAUAAAAUGUAGGGCGCUCAUUAGAGUAUAGUCACUUUAACAAGGGUUUUGUCUCCAGUUUUCUCGACUAUCCCCCUCACACAAGUAGUAAGGAGUCAGUCUAGCUAAGGCAGUUAUCUAUUAGGAUUAAGUCCACAGGAGUAAAGGUAGACACAUAGGAGACUUAUACUCACUCGUUGUCCUCCCACCUAGCUAACACUCUACCAUUUAUCCUUUUGUUUCUUAUCUAUCCCACUUCCAUACUUCACUUACCACCUGCUACCACUCGUGAUACUAGAUUGAAUAGACAUAAGGAUACCAUCUUCUCUUUUAUUGAAAUCUCCUAGUCCGCUUUCUCUUGGUAUAACAUAAAUAACAAUACCUUGGAAUACUCAUCCUCGGUGAAAUAUAUGCUACAUCGAUACAUUCUGUGCACUUGCAGAAUAUCCAAUAGUUAUAGAAUUACCCACCUGGCAUUUCUAGUGUUGUUGCUAAUAUCUAGUGACGAUGUUAAGAAAUACCAACAACGAUCUUAGACAUGGGUAACGACAAGGACAUACCCCUCAUCCUUGGUUGUCCUUUCCUUAAUAUUGUUAAUGCAUGCAUACAUGUAGCUUCUAGAUAAAUCCAAUUCCAACUUUGCUAGAAAGAAAGAAACAUUUGUUUUUUCUUAUGGAUCGCCCCUCUCGAAUGUCAUGUAGGCAAGUAAGAAGCGACCCAAGAAGAAAGAAACGAGAAAGCUCAAACCACCUAAGAACGAGAAAGGAUCCAGCAAUAAAGAAUCAAGAUCAAGGAGGGCUUGGCAUAAGAAGAAUGGGCUAUCAUCCACAGUAUCGUUACCAAAAACUCGUAACAGAGGUAAAGAAGACGAGCCACUAAAGAAGGAACCUACAAAUAAAGAAGAACCUCCACGCAAGGAAGAGCCAUAAAUCUUCAAGUAUGAUUUAAUUGCUUUCAUGCACUUCAUUUUUUUUAAUUAGUUGCAUAUGCAUUUAUUACUUAAUAGGUUCAUAUUUAGUUUCCAAAUAAAAGGUACUCAUAAAGUACCUUGCAUUUAGAAUAAGUUUUCUUUUAAAUAAUAAUAAAAUGCUAAAAACAAACAAACAAUAAACAAAUGAAAUAUAGUGAUAGGUAAAACAACAAUAUGAUAAAAAUAAAAAAUAACAAUAAAAUAAUAAAAUAUAAAAAAGAGAUGGGAAAUAAAUAAAUAUAUAUAAAUAAUAGUAACAAUAAAUAAAGUAAAAAUAUAUCUAUAUCUAAUAUAAUAAAAUGAAAUAUAUCUAGCUAGUAAUAAUAACAAAAACUCUAUAAAAACUUUAUAUAAAAAGAGAAAAAACAAAAAUAAAAAUAAAAUUUGUUUUAUUAAGUAGUAGUAAUCUUAGUAGCAAUAAAUAAAAAACCACAAGUCACAUAUAUAUAUAUUUCCCUAGAUGAAGAAACCACAAAAGAGCCACUUGUUUGUUUUGAGCUUUGUUAGACCUUAUUGAUCCAAGUAGAGAAACUUGUCAUGCUUUUUGAUCAAGACCACGUACACAUACACCCUCAUGGAACUUCUACACUAGAAGUGUGCAACCAUGCUCGAUAUAAUUUUGAGACAUAUAUAUACAGUUAUAGUUUCUCUUUGUUCUCUAUGAAAAGAGGAGCAUGGGCUACCAAAAAAGAGAGAGAAAGAAAAGAAAGUGCUCUGAUGAAAAGAGGACAAAAUGUCUCAAGAGAGAGAGGGAGAAAACAAUGGAUACUAUGAUGCCUGCUAUCAGUAAAAAAAAUCCUUGGUAGCCAUGCUCUCUCCAAUUAGAAAUAAGAGAUAGAAAAAAUCUCAAGGAGUUCCACCAGAUAUCUACACUUCCACAUCUUGAUCACUUUGUAUGACUUGUUUCUCCUUUUGAUCUAAGAGUCUAACUCAAUAAUAUACUCAACACAUGUUUGCUUAAGCUUUCCCUACCUAUAGCUCCAUAUAAGCUUUAGCAUAAGUAUGUUGAGGCUACUACCUUUGGCCUUGGUGAGGUUUAUCAAACACCAUGAGUGAUCGAGUGUUUCAUUUGAGGAAGUUAAGCAAGUUUUCUUUCAAUAUUUUGAAAACCUCUAGAAAGAGUCUUAGCUUCACCAAAGCAAGGUACAAAGUUUCUACCUACUGCACUAUCUUACUUUUGCAUAUUAUGAGGUGAAAAGCUAUAAGCCCUAUAUGGUUGAGACUAAUGAUGGAAUUCUGACUGAGCUCAACUCAAAGAUAGUAGUGGUUUGUAUAUAAGUUUUUGCAGCAUGUUACAUUGAAGCAACUCCUAAUCUCAGCAUGCUAAAAUCAUAUUUUGCUUAAGGACAAGCAAAAGAUUAGCUUGGGGGAGCUUGUUGAUGGUCAUUAACACCUCAUUUCACCAUCAACAUUUCACCCAAUUAUAAGUAUAUCAACAUGAAUGAUAGAAUUCUAGUUUAUAAUUCACCUAGUUCCAUAUGUCCCUAGAAAUUUAUUUGCAUGUAGAAAUAAAACAAAAAAUGGUCCAAUUGGAGC
rnacentral:lncRNA from 1 species